rnacentral:rRNA from 1 species
CACGUAGGCGGCGAAGCAAGUCGGGUGUGAAAGCCCUGGGCUCAACCCAGGAAGUGCAUUCGAAACUAUUUCGCUUGAAUCUCGGAGGGGGCCAGAGAAUUCCCGGUGUAGAGGUGAAAUUCGUAGAUAUCGGGAGGAAUACCAGUGGCGAAGGCGCUGGCCUGGACGAAGAUUGACGCUGAGGUGCGAAAGCGCGGGGAGCAAACA